CAUUUUAGGGGAAGUUCCGCCAAAUUUUUGGUAGAAUUUCUUCUAAAGUGGGCCCCGCAGGGCCACUUCGGAUUUCAGGGUGAAAUCCGGGGCGGGUCCUGUCAGUUAAAAACUGACAUGUGCAGGUAUAAGACAAUAUUUGAUGUAUGUGCCUUCUGUAAAUUAACUAUUCUUAAAAAAAAAAAAAAAAAAAAAAAAAAAAAAAAACUGACAUGUGUAGAACACAUGACCUAUAUUCAAGAAUAGUUUGACGAAAAUACCCAUUUAUUUAGGGUCUUUGACCCAAAGCACCAAAAAUUAGUCCACUUACCCCAGCAACAGUUUUUUAUUCCCAUUAACCCAUUUAACAGCUAAAUGACAAUUUUUCCCUAAGGCUAAUUAAUAAACUACCUCAUGCCAUCUUCUUUCUACUCUCUCUCAUUCCAUUCUGAUUUGCAACUCUCUCUCUCUCUUCCACCCCGCAACGUGCCUUUGCCGCGCGCCACCGCUGUCAAAAUCAUGAGACGAUAGUGCCUUGGAGGUCGAGAGUACUGCAGAGGCCGGAGACGACGCCGCAGUUCGAGGACUCUGUUGAUAUCAGACGGCGACGAGUAGGGAGCGCUGAGUCAACUCAAGUAGGGAGUGCUGAGUCAACGCUGAGUCAACUCGAGUAGGGAGCGUUGAGUAGACUCGAGUAGGGAGCGACCGCCACUGACGUCCUUAAGCCUUAGCGCGUGCCGCAAAUGCCUCUGUUUAGAACCCCGAGCUUCUGGUCGAUUUCGGCGAUCUGGCCUCUUUUUUUUUCAUCUGCGGCGCUGAUCGGAGAAGCAUCAUGCACUCCUGAAGAUGACAAAGCAACUUCGGUCGAAGCUACCUCGCCGGAGUCCAACACCUGGUAGGAUAUCUUGGAGUCGGAGCUCCGAAGCACUGGCGAGAAUGGCGUCCAGCUAUUGACGUGGGUGCCCAAAGUAUUUUCUGGGUGUCCAAAUCAUUUUUUUUAAAGUAAUGGGACAGAAGGAAAAGAAAAAAAAAACAGUUUUGAAUGUCUAUUGGGGGCCAGUAGACGUUUUAAAAUUGAUAUAAUCUCUUCAUUUUUUUUUCUUUAAACAAAGUUUUAUUGUCUAAAUUUUGGGAGAUUAGUUCAUAUUCUGGCAACCGAAAAUUCAAUUGGAGGAUAAUAUACGUCUAUUUGGGGGUAAUAGACGUCUAUUGGAGGGCAAUACAUGGCUGAUGGAAGUCUAUUUGGGGGGCAAUAGACUUCUAUUAGGGGGCAAUAACGUCUAUUGAGAGGCAAUAGAUGUCUAUUGGGGUAGUAAACAUUUCCGGUGAGGUUUUCUGAAAAGUCCGGUGGGCGGCAGCUAGUGACCGGAAUCCGACGACCGGUGACAGGAUUCCGGCGAAAGUUGGCUGAAAUCCGAUGGCAGAUGACUGGAUUCACGUGGCCGGUGACGGGGCUCCAGCGAAGUCUCCUAUGGUUUCUCUCUCUUCCAUUUCCUCUCUCUCUCUCUCUCUAAGUAACAAAGGGUGAGGGUAAAAUAGUAUUAAAAAAAUAAAAAAUAAAAAAAUCUUAAUGGAGUAUUAGGGAAGACCUCCUUAGAGUGUUUCGGGUUAGAGGGAAUUAAAAAACUUAAUAGGGUAAGUGGGAAAAGAAUCUCUAGAAAUGGGGUGAAUGACCCUUAAAUAAUCUUGUUUACUAGAUUUUUGAUUAAUUAAUAUGUUAAUAAAAUAGAAGUUCAAUUAAAAAUUAAGGGAAAUUAUGGAAUAGGUCACAUUAGAGUUUGAAAUGAUAAAAAUAUCACGUAGUUUUUCACUGGAUAAAAAAGUCCAUUAUGAAGUGUUAAUAAUAUUAAUUUAAUCUUUAUGAAUAAUAAGGUAAUGUUAAAAAAGGUCAGUUUUCAAUUUCGUUGAUUCCAAUUACGCCUUUAAAGCCAAUUCUUUCUCUAGCUUCUCCUCCUCCACCACACAGACACAGACCUCCUCGAGAGUGUGAAUGGCGAAGAACAAUGCGUCAUUGACUCAUUGGGAUAGGUGGAUGAGUUCUUGAAGCGGUGCCAACAGUUCGGCGAUGCCGCCUACUCUACUCUGAGAUCAGUGUUGGAGCGUCUCGAGGAUCCGAAAACCCGAACUUAAGCUCUGAUCUUCCUCUUCGACCUCCAGAAGCGCUUCCCUAUUGGAGGACCUCACCCGCCUCGGAGAUUACUCCGAUCUCUUCGUUUUCAUCACCGACGCUUCGAUGAACUCGGAGUCCAAAAGAUAAUACUGAUACAACAUUUAUCAGAAAAUGGAAACACAAAAUUGAAGCAAUUGUCAUUGCACAUGACCAUGAAGAUCACAUUGGUGAUCCCAGCUUUGGAUCCCAGUACACCAAUAUUUGCAUCAUCCUUCACCAUGGAGUUACUUGAGUAACUUUAAUUUGUGUGGUUAUCAGGAGCUUCCUAUUCCACCCAUUCUUUUUCAAUAUGUAAUAAUGAAUAGUGUUCAGUAAUGUUGACCUCUCAUAGAAUGUCAAUACUUGCCUAGCAGCUAUCAAAUCUUUAUUCUUCCACUCAUUUUUUUGUACCUCAUACUGUCAACCUAUAUGAGUCUUUUCUCAUGAGGAUGCCUAUCCUCUUGGCAUGAAGCUGGCGCCUUUUAGGGGAUAUAUCCAGUUAAAUGUUAAAUUGAUCCAAAUGUAUGGGAGGUGUGGGAGUAUGAGAGAUGCACACAAGGUGUUUGAUAGAGUGCCCAAGAGAAAUUUGAGCUUGCUGCAAGUGACCUCAUUUCGCUUCAUUGUGCUUUGCUAAAUGAAACAAUUAAGAUUCUCAAUACUAAAUGUUUACAGCACGUAAAGGCUGGUAUAUUUAGCUUC